AUUUUAACAUCAUUCUAACAUAAGGUUACCUUGGCAUAAUGUUGAAACAUUAUAUUGUAUGGUAGUCCUAAAAUGAUGAUGAAAAUAGUUUUUGAAAUUUUUCUUCCACGAUAGUUUUAAAUUUUUAAAAUUUUUGCAUGCAACCGAAAACUUAAAAGAUGGAUUUAUAAUAAUGUCAUCCCAGAACUAUGAAAAAGCUAUGCUAAAGAAAAUCAUUCAGUACAUAAUGAAGAAGAUGAGGAUCUCACUUCAGACCUCAUCGAUCUUCACUCUUUAACUGGUAAACCCCACCAUUACCACUUUGGCCGC
rnacentral:lncRNA from 1 species